rnacentral:rRNA from 1 species
UCCCGUUGAUCCUGCGGGAGGUUGCUGCUAUUAGAGUUCGACUAAGCCAUGCAUGUCUUCUCGCAAGAGAGGCGAACUGCUCAGUAACACGUCGACAAUUUGACCUUAGGUCUUGGAUAACCUCGGGAAACUGAGGCUAAACCAGGAUAGGGGAUUAUUUCUGGAAUGAUUUUUCCCUUAAAAGUUAAUGCCUAAGGAUAAGUCGGCGGCGGAUUAGGUUGUUGGUGAGGUAAAGGCUCACCAAGCCGAAGAUCCGUAGGGGCCUUGAGAGAGGUAGCCCCGAGAAGGGUACUGAGAUACAGACCCUAGCCCUACGGGGUGCAGCAGGCGCGAAACCUUUACAAUGCACGAAAGUGUGAUAAGGGAACUCUAAGUGCUUUGCUUUUGUAAGGCUUUUUUUAAGAGUAAAUAUCUUUGAGAAUAAGUGGUGGGCAAUACCUGUGCCAGCCGCCCCGGUAAUCCAGGAGCCACAAGUGGCAACCAUUUUUAUUGGGCCUAAAGCGUCCGUAGCAUGUUUAGUAAAUCUUCUGUGAAAUCAUUAGGCUUAACUUAAUGACGUGCAGAAGACACUGCUUGACUCGGGACCGGGAGGAGUCAGAGGUAUUUUGGGGGGAGCGGUAAAAUGCUAUAAUCCUCGAAGGACCACCUGUGGCGAAGGCGUCUGACCAGAACGGAUCCGACAGUGAGGGACGAAAGCUAGGGGAGCAAUCCGGAUUAGAUACCCGAGUAGUCCUAGCUGUAAACUCUGCGAGCUAGGUGUUGCAUAAUCUUCGAGAUUGUGCAGUGUCGAAGCGAAGGUGUUAAGCUCGCCGCCUGGGAAGUAUGGUCGCAAGGCUGAAACUUAAAGGAAUUGGCGGGGGAGCACUACAAGGGGUGCGGCGUGCGGUUUAAUCUAAUUCAACGCAGAGAAACUCACCAGAAGCGACGGCAGGAUGAAAGUCAGUCUAAAGGGCUUACUUAACAAGCCGAGAGGUAGUGCAUGGCCGUCGUCAGCUCGUGCCGUAAGGUGUCCUGUUAAGUCAGGCAACGAGCGAGACCUGCACUCAUAAUUGCUAAUAGCUCUAUCAGAGGACUGAGCACAUUAUGAGGACUGCCCUUGAAAAAGGGAGGAAGGUGCAGGCUACGGUAGGUCUGUAUGCUCCGAAUCUUCUGGGCUACACGCGCGCAACAAUGGUAUGGACAAUGGGCCACAACUCCGAAAGGAGAAGUUAAUCCUCGAAACCGUAUCUUAGUCCAGAUUGAGGGUUGUAACUCACCCUCAUGACGUUGGAAUCCCUAGUAAUCAGGUUUUAUCAUAACCUGGUGAAUAUGUCCCUGCUCCUUGCACACACCGCCCGUCAAACCACCCGAGUAGGGUUUAGAUAAGGUCUAAUUUUUAAUUAGUUCGAAUCUAAGCUCAGCGAGGAGGGUUAAGUCGUCACAAGGUA